UACAGAGGGUGCGAGCGUUGUUCGGAAUUAUUGGGCGUAAAGGGAGUGUAGGCGGUUUGGAAAGUCUUCUGUGAAAUCUACGGGCUUACCCUGUAAAGUGCAGAGGAAACUUCCAGGCUUGAGUGUCGGAGAGGAUAGGGGAAUACCCGGUGUAGAGGUGAAAUUCGUAGAGAUCGGGUGGAACACCAGUGGCGAAGGCGCCUAUCUGGCUGACAACUGACGCUGAGACUCGAAAGCAUGGGGAGCAAACAGG
rnacentral:rRNA from 1 species